GUCAGUGCUGAGCUCAGCGGUUAAUACGUUGGACUUCUGAUCAUGAGUCAUGAGUUCAAAUCCCAGCACUGCCA